AUUGAACGCUGGCGGCAGGCCUAACACAUGCAAGUCGAACGAGUGGCGGAUGGGUGAGUUAUGUCUGGGAAACUGCCUGCUGGAGGGGGAUAACUACUGGGAAAGGUAGCUAAUAACGUAAACAUGCAGCUGUGCCCAGAUGGGAGUAGCUUGUUGGUGGGGUAUCGGCUUACCAAGGCGACGAUCCCGAGCUGGUCUGAGAGGAUGAACAGCCACACUGGAACUGAGACACGGUCCAGACUCCUACGGGAGGCAGCAGUGGGGAAUAUUGCACAAUGGGCGCAAGCCUGAUGCAGCCAUGCCGCGUGUAUGAAGAAGGCCUUCGGAUUGUAAAGUACUUUCAGCGGGGAGGCGUUACCCGCAGAAGAAGCACCGGCUAACUCCGUGCCAGCAGCCGCGGUAAUUC
rnacentral:rRNA from 1 species